CCUACGGGUGACUGCAGUAGGGAAUAUUGCUCAAUGGGGGAAACCCUGAAGCAGCAACGCCGCGUGGAGGAUGAAGGUUUUCGGAUUGUAAACUCCUUUUGUUAGAGAAGAAAAUGACGGUAUCUAACGAAUAAGCACCGGCUAACUCCGUGCCAGCAGCCGCGGUACUACGGAGGGUGCAAGCGUUACUCGGAACCACGGGGGGUAAAGAGCGCGUAGGCGGGAUAGAAAGUCAGUUGUUAAAUCCUAGGGCUUAACCAUAGAACUGCAGUUGAAACUGGUGUUCUAGAGUAUGGGAGAGGUAGGUGGAAUUCGUGGUGUAGGGGUGAAAUCCGUAGAGAUCAAGAGGAAUACUCAUUGCGAAGGCGACCUGCUAGAACAUAACUGACGCUGAUGCGCGAAAGCGUGGGGAGCAAACAGGAUUAGAUACCCCGGUAGUC
rnacentral:rRNA from 1 species